GAUGAACGCUGGCGGCGUGCCUAAUACAUGCAAGUCGAGCGAACAGACGAGAGUGCUUGCACUCUCUGACGUUAGCGGCGGACGGGUGAGUAACACGUGGGUAACCUACCUAUAAGACUGGGAUAACUUCGGGAAACCGGAGCUAAUACCGGAUAAUAUUUAGCUUCGCAUGAAGCAAUAGUGAAAGACGGUUCUGCUGUCACUUAUAGAUGGACCCGCGGUGUAUUAGCUAGUUGGUGAGGUAACGGCUCACCAAGGCAACGAUACAUAGCCGACCUGAGAGGGUGAUCGGCCACACUGGGACUGAGACACGGCCCAGACUCCUACGGGAGGCAGCAGUAGGGAAUCUUCCGCAAUGGACGAAAGUCUGACGGAGCAAUGCCGCGUGAGUGAAGAAGGUUUUCGGAUCGUAAAACUCUGUUGUAAGGGAAGAACAAGUACGUUAGUAACUGAACGUACCUUGACGGUACCUUACCAGAAAGCCUCGGCUAACUACGUG
rnacentral:rRNA from 1 species